GUUCUGGGACCAUGUGGCCAGGAGCAUGUGCCCAAGGGGCCUGGAUUCAGAUCAGCUAAAGUGCAGGAGGCCAUCGGAGCCAGACUUUCCUUGCCAGGCUGCAAAGGGGAAACUGUCUGAUCAGCUGAAACCUAGUGGUGGGGGAGCACCUCAGGCUGGGUGCUGUAAAUCAAGCCGAAAGGACAGCAAUAUGGCUGCGAUGGAAAGCAUUACAAGAGGAUCUAAAGCAAGCUGCAAACUUCCCCAUGCAGCUUCCAGGCUCAGAGAGCGGUUCCCCAGAGGAACCCAGCGCCGUCUCCUAGCAGGAGGGAAAGAUUAAAAAUAAAAAA